AAACCAGCACCUCAAGUGGUCAGGAUGAUUAUUGGGCCUAAAGCAUCCGUAGCCUGCUCUGUAAGUUUUCGGUUAAAUCUGUACGCUCAACGUACAGGCUGUCGGGAAUACUGCAGAGCUAGGGAGUGGGAGAGGUAGACGGUACUCGGGAGGAAGUGGUAAAAUGCUUUGAUCUCUCGAUGACCACCUGUGGCGAAGGCGGUCUACCAGAACACGUCCGACGGUGAGGGAUGAAAGCUGGGGGAGCAAACCGGAUUAGAAACCCGGGUAGUCC
rnacentral:rRNA from 1 species